AGUGAACGCUGGCGGUAGGCCUAACACAUGCAAGUCGAACGGCAGCACAGUAAGAGCUUGCUCUUACGGGUGGCGAGUGGCGGACGGGUGAGGAAUACAUCGGAAUCUACUUUUUCGUGGGGGAUAACGUAGGGAAACUAACGCUAAUACCGCUUACGACCUACGGGUGAAAGCAGGGGAUCUUCGGACCUUGCGCGAUUGAAUGAGCCGAUGUCGGAUUAGCUAGUUGGCGGGGUAAAGGCCCACCAAGGCGACGAUCCGUAGCUGGUCUGAGAGGAUGAUCAGCCACACUGGAACUGAGACACGGUCCAGACUCCUACGGGAGGCAGCAGUGGGGAAUAUUGGACAAUGGGCGCAAGCCUGAUCCAGCCAUACCGCGUGGGUGAAGAAGGCCUUCGGGUUGUAAAGCCCUUUUGUUGGGAAAGAAAAGCAGCAGGUUAAUACCCCGCUGUUCUGACGGUACCCAAAGAAUAAGCACCGGCUAACUUCGUG
rnacentral:rRNA from 1 species